rnacentral:sRNA from 1 species
ACGUUUUCAUUUUUAGCCCAGUGACUGCCUGAUGUUCAUAGUGUUAUCAUCGUCAUUAUCAUCUCCAUUAUUAUUACUUUGAAUUUUUAUUGUGGGUUUUUUUGGAUCAUGAAUUCAAUAUUAAAUAAUUCAUUGUCUUGGAAAACCCAUUGUGGAUCUACUUUCUAACUUUAAACUUAUAUAUGAUUUUGUAUUAUACUAUAUAUUUUUUUCUUUGUAUCAGAACAGAGACGCCAACGACAAGAAUGAAAGUCUCACAGCUUUGGAUGCCCUAAUCUGUAAUAAAAGCUUUCUUGUUACUGUCAUCCACACCCUUGAAAAGCAGAAGAACUUUUCUGUGAAGGACAGGUGUCUGUUUGCCUCCUUCCUAACCAUUGCACUGCAAACCAAGCUGGUCUACCUGACCAGCAUCCUAGAGGUGCUGACCAGGGACUUGAUGGAACAGUGUAGUAACAUGCAGCCGAAACUCAUGCUGAGACGCACGGAGUCCGUGGUGGAAAAACUUCUCACAAACUGGAUGUCCGUCUGCCUUUCUGGUUUUCUCCGGGAGACUGUUGGAGAGC